GUCAAUAUUUUACAGUUAAGCAAACAUGAAAGUAUUUCAAAUAGCAUUUGUUGUGGCCUGCAUUAUUGCUGCCGUCUCCUGUAAUCCCGGCAAUAAUGGUAUACAUGGUGGUGGUAAUUCCGGUAAUAAACAGAGCAAUUUUGACAUUAAAGGAAGUUUAUUCAAAUAAACGUUAACUGAUUCUGAGGACCGUCUUACAAGACUUAAAUUUUGUUAAUGUGUUUUCUUAUAUUUUAAACUAAAUGAAAUGCCAGUAGAGCUUCAUUAUAACGAAACAUUACAAAAUUGGGUCUUAUUCCUCCAACUGUAAUAAUUGUAUUCAAAAUUAAUAUGAAAUAAAGUGCAAAUAUAUUCAGUUAA